rnacentral:rRNA from 1 species
CUCCUACGGGAGGCAGCAGUGGGGAAUAUUGGACAAUGGGCGGAAGCCUGAUCCAGCCAUGCCGCGUGUGUGAAGAAGGCCUUUUGGUUGUAAAGCACUUUAAGCGAGGAGGAGGCUCCUUUAGUUAAUACCUAAAGUGAGUGGACGUUACUCGCAGAAUAAGCACCGGCUAACUCUGUGCCAGCAGCCGCGGUAAU